GCCACCGUGGCACAAUCCGGUACUGCGCCGGCCUUGAGGGCCCGUAAUCCCGGUUCAAAUCCGGGCGGUGGCG
rnacentral:tRNA from 1 species